rnacentral:rRNA from 1 species
UGAGUAACACGUGGAUAACCUGCCUCAAGGCUGGGGAUAACAUUUGGAAACAGAUGCUAAUACCGAAUAAAACUUAGUAUCGCAUGAUACAAAGUUGAAAGGCGCUACGGCGUCACCUAGAGAUGGGUCCGCGGUGCAUUAGUUAGUUGGUGGGGUAAAGGCCUACCAAGACAAUGAUGCAUAGCCGAGUUGAGAGACUGAUCGGCCACAUUGGGACUGAGACACGGCCCAAACUCUUACGGGAGGCUGCAGUAGGGAAUCUUCCACAAUGGGCGCAAGCCUGAUGGAGCAACGCCGCGUGUGUGAUGAAGGCUUUCGGGUCGUAAAGCACUGUUGUAUGGGAAGAAAUGCUAGAAUAGGGAAUGAUUCUAGUUCGACGGUACCAUACCAGAAAGGGACGGCUAAAUACGUGCCAGCAGCCGCGGUAAUACGUAUGUCCCGAGCGUUAUCCGGAUUUAUUGGGCGUAAAGCGAGCGCAGACGGUUGAUUAAGUCUGAUGUGAAAGCCCGGAGCUCAACUCCGGAAUGGCAUUGGAAACUGGUUAACUUGAGUGUUGUAGAGGUAAGUGGAACUCCAUGUGUAGCGGUGGAAUGCGUAGAUAUAUGGAAGAACACCAGUGGCGAAGGCGGCUUACUGGACAACAACUGACGUUGAGGCUCGAAAGUGUGGGUAGCAAACAGGAUUAGAUACCCUGGUAGUCCACACCGUAAACGAUGAAUACUAGGUGUUAGGAGGUUUCCGCCUCUUAGUGCCGAAGCUAACGCA